AUUGAACGCUGGCGGCAGGCUUAACACAUGCAAGUCGAGCGGGCGAGGUUGCUUCGGUAACUGAGCUAGCGGCGGACGGGUGAGUAAUGCUUAGGAAUCUGCCUAUUAGUGGGGGACAACAUUCCGAAAGGAAUGCUAAUACCGCAUACGCCCUACGGGGGAAAGCAGGGGAUCUUCGGACCUUGCGCUAAUAGAUGAGCCUAAGUCAGAUUAGCUAGUUGGUGGGGUAAAGGCCUACCAAGGCGACGAUCUGUAGCGGGUCUGAGAGGAUGAUCCGCCACACUGGGACUGAGACACGGCCCAGACUCCUACGGGAGGCAGCAGUGGGGAAUAUUGGACAAUGGGCGCAAGCCUGAUCCAGCCAUGCCGCGUGUGUGAAGAAGGCCUUUUGGUUGUAAAGCACUUUAAGCGAGGAGGAGGCUACCGAGAUUAAUACUCUUGGAUAGUGGACGUUACUCGCAGAAUAAGCACCGGCUAACUCUGUGCCAGCCGCCGCUGUAACAC
rnacentral:rRNA from 1 species